rnacentral:lncRNA from 8 species
AUGGCUGCUGUUCUGGCAGCGGCUAAAGUUUUGGUGGCAUGGGCUGUCUUAGUGGUGUCUCCAGUUGUGGUGGCAGGGGCUGUCGUAGUGGCGUCCUUAGUUAUGGUGGCAGACUCUGCAGUUGUGGUGUCAGCUGCAGUUGUGGUGUCAGCUACAGUUGUGGUGGCAGCGGCUGUCAUCAUAGUGGCAGCUGCAGUUGUGGUGGCAGCUGCACUUGUGGUUGCAAUGGCUGCUGUUCUGGUAGCAGUUAAAGUUUUGGUGGCAUGGGCUGUCUUAGUGGUGUCUCCAAUUGUGGUGGCAGGGGCUGUCGUAGUGGCGUCCUUAGUUAUGGUGGCAGGGGCUGCAGUUGUGGUGUCAGCUGCAGUUGUGGUGUCAGCUACAGUUGUGGUGGCAGUGGCUGUCGUCAUAGUGGCAGCUGCAGCUGUGGUAGUAGCGGCUGUUGUCGUAGGGGCAGCUGCAGUUGUGGUUGCAGUUGUUACUGUUGUAGUGGCUGCUGUAUUCAUAGUGGUGGCUACAGUUAUGGUGGCAGCUGCUGUUGCUGUGGUGGCAGGGACUGUCAUAGUGGAACCUACAGUUGUGGUAAUGUCUGCAGUUGUGUUGGCAGGGGCUAUCCUAUUAGUGGCUGCAGUUACGGUGGCAGGGGCUGUCGUAGUGGUGGCAAUGGCUGUUGUCGUGGUGGCAAAUGCAGUUGUGGUGUCAGCGGCUGUCGUCAUAGUGGCAGCUGCACUUGUGGUUGCAAUGGCUGCUGUUCUUGUAGCGGCUAAAGAGUUGGUGGCAUGGGCUGUCUUAGUGGUGUCUCCAGUUGUGGUGGCAGGGGCUGUCGUAGUGGCGUCCUUAGUUAUGCUGGCAGAGGCUGCAGUAGUGGUGUCAGCUGCAGUUGUGGUGUCAGCUGCAGUUGUGGUGGUAGUGGCUGUCGUCAUAGUGGCAGCUGCAGCUGUGGUGGUAGCAGCUGUUGUCAUAGGGGCAGCUGCAGCUGUGGUAGCAUAUGCACUUGUAUUUGCAGUGGCAGCUGUUGUGGUAGCGGCUAAAGUUGUGGUGGCAGGGGGUGUUGUCAAAGUGGCAGCUGUCGUAGUGGCGGCUGCAGUUGUGGUUGCAGCUCUUGUGGUACCAGCUGGAGUUGUGGUGGCAGUUGCUACUGUUGUAGUGGCUGCUGUAGGUAUAGUGGCGGCUACAGUUGUGCUGCCGACUGCUGUUGCUAUGGUGGCAGAGGCUAUUGUAGUGGAAGCUGCAGUUGUGGUAGUAGUUGUAGUGGUGUCUACAGUUGUGGUGGCAGGGGCUGUCGUCGUAGUGGCAGCUGCUGUUGUGUUAGCAGUCGUAGUGGCAGCUGCUGUUGUUGUUGCAGAUGCUGCUCUUGUGGUACCAGCAUAA